CUACGGGCGGCUCCAGUGAGGAAUAUUGCACAAUGGGGGGAACCCUGGUGCAGCAACGCCGCGUGGAGGAUGACGCAUUUCGGUGUGUAAACUCCUUUUAUAUGUCAAGAAAAUGACGGUAGCAUAUGAAUAAGCACCGGCUAACUCCGUGCCAGCAGCCGCGGUAAUACGGAGGGUGCAAGCGUUACUAGGAAUCACUGGGCGUAAAGGACGCGUAGGCGGGUUGGAAAGUCAGGUGUGAAAUCCUACAGCUUAACUGUAGAACUGCACUUGAAACUUCUAAUCUAGAGUAUGGGAGGGGGAGAUGGAAUUAGUGGUGUAGGGGUAAAAUCCGUAGAUAUCACUAGGAAUACCUAGGGCGAAGGCGAUCUCCUGGAACAUUACUGACGCUAAGGCGUGAAAGCGUGGGGAGCAAACAGGAUUAGAUACCCCAGUAGUC
rnacentral:rRNA from 1 species